rnacentral:rRNA from 1 species
UACGUAGGGUGCGAGCGUUAAUCGGAAUUACCGGGCGUAAAGCGUGCGCAGGCGGUUUUGUAAGCCAGAUGUGAAAUCCCCGGGCUUAACCUGGGAAUGGCAUUUGGGACUGCAAGGCUUGAGUGCGGCAGAGGAGACUGGAAUUCCUGGUGUAGCAGUGAAAUGCGUAGAUAUCAGGAGGAAUACCGAUGGCGAAGGCAGGUCUCUGGGCUGACACUGACGCUCAUGCACGAAAGCGUGGGGAGCAAACAGG